AUAAUUAUAAAUUAACUGUUAACAAAACUUCGAAUUUUUGAAAUUCUAAGACUUUUCUACCUCAAGAUUAGAUUACCUUAGCUGUAUUUGGCAAAACUUUUAGGAAUUUUCGGGCCUCAAUGCUCUUCAACUUUAUUUGGCCUUUUAAACAUUUUUGAUUCGAGCGUCACUGAUGAGUCUUUUGUAGACGAAACGCGUAUCUAGCGUAAAAUUAAAAUUUGAAUCCAUGUAUCUAUGAUAAGUUUAUUGAAUGUAUAAAUUGUAUGAUUUAUUUUAUAAAACAUGUCAUGUUUUAUUCAAGUAAAUACAGCACCAC
rnacentral:lncRNA from 1 species